rnacentral:rRNA from 1 species
GAUGAACGCUGGCGGCGUGCCUAAUACAUGCAAGUCGAGCGAACAGAUAAGGAGCUUGCUCCUUUGACGUUAGCGGCGGACGGGUGAGUAACACGUGGAUAACCUACCUAUAAGACUGGGAUAACUUCGGGAAACCGGAGCUAAUACCGGAUAACAUAUUGAACCGCAUGGUUCAAUAGUGAAAGGCGGCUUUGCUGUCACUUAUAGAUGGAUCCGCGCCGUAUUAGCUAGUUGGUAAGGUAACGGCUUACCAAGGCAACGAUACGUAGCCGACCUGAGGGGGUGAUCGGCCACACUGGAACUGAGACACGGUCCAGACUCCUACGGGAGGCAGCAGUAGGGAAUCUUCCGCAAUGGGCGAAAGCCUGACGGAGCAACGCCGCGUGAGUGAUGAAGGUCUUCGGAUCGUAAAACUCUGUUAUCAGGGAAGAACAAAUGUGUAAGUAACUGUGCACAUCUUGACGGUACCUGAUCAGAAAGCCACGGCUAACUACGUG